rnacentral:rRNA from 1 species
GAUUAACGCUAGCGGCAGGCUUAAUACAUGCAAGUUGAACGGCAGCACAGGUAGCACUACUGGGUGGCGAGUGGCGCACGGGUGCGUAACACGUAUGCAACCUACCCUAUACAGGCGAAUAAACUUUAGAAAUGAGGGCUAAUACGUCGUAGUAUUACAGAUGGGCAUCUAUUUGUAAUUAAAGAUUUAUCGGUAUAGGAUGGGCAUGCGUCCCAUUAGUUAGUUGGUAAGGUAACGGCUUACCAAGACGAUGAUGGGUAGGGGAUCUGAGAGGACUUACCCCCACACUGGUACUGAGACACGGACCAGACUCCAACGGGAGGCAGCAGUAAGGAAUAUAGGGCAAUGGCCGCGAGGCUGACCCAGCCAUGCCGCGAGCAGGAAGACGGGCUUAUGGGUUGUAAUCUGCUUUUAUACGGGAAUAAUAGAGUGUACGCGUACAUUUAUGCAAGUAUCGUAGGAAUAAGCAUCGGCUAACUCCGU